rnacentral:rRNA from 1 species
UACGAAGGGGGCUAGCGUUGUUCGGAAUCACUGGGCGUAAAGCGCACGUAGGCGGACUUUCAAGUCAGGGGUGAAAUCCCGGGGCUCAACCUCGGAAUUGCCUUUGAUACUGUAAGUCUCGAGUCCGGAAGAGGUGGGUGGAAUUCCUAGUGUAGAGGUGAAAUUCGUAGAUAUUAGGAAGAACACCGGUGGCGAAGGCGGCCACUGGUCCGGUACUGACGCUGAGGUGCGAAAGCGUGGGAGCAACAGGA